rnacentral:sRNA from 1 species
GCUGGGUGUGGUGGCGUGCACCUGUAAUCCCAGCUACUUGGGAGGCUGAGGCAGGAGAAUCGCUUGAGCCUGGGAAGCGGAGGCUGCAGUGAGCCAAGAUUGCAUCACUGCACUCUAGCCUGGGCAACAGAGCAAGACUCUGUUUCAA